GCGUGGACACGCGCGGGGCUACCGAUGCAAUAACGGAGCCGUGCACGCGACAACAGAUCGCACCGUCAACAGCGGCCGGUGGAGGUGGAGGUGCCGGUGGAGGAGGAGGUGCCGGUGGAGGAGGAGGAGAUGUGGAGGGUUACACUCCUCUGGUCACACCUGUGAGGGUUGGCGGUUCGAUCCCGGGUGCUGCUAACCUGCACGUCCACGUGUCCUCGAGCAAGACACUUGGCCCAGCACGUGGCCACAGUGUGUGGAUGUUGUGUGAGGGAGCUGCUGUCACCACUGUGUGAGUGGAUGAAUGAUGUGUGGUCAGAAGUAAAGUCCAUUUAGCAUCAGCUAUGGAUCGAGCUUCUGAGGAUACUUGGAGACUUUUCGUAGCAUAUUGACGAUGACAAAUAAUUAAAAAAAAACACUUUUAAAAUGGUGGUUAUCUUAAGAAUAAUUUAAAUGUUUUACCUUAGUCUAUAAUACUUCAGAUUUCACUUGUAGUUUAGGGUUUGGGUUUGUAAACCCACAAAACCUUUGUGUGGUUUAAGGCAUUCAGGCCAAACUAAACGCAGGAAAACCUAUUUUCCAUCCUUUGGUUCUUUAACAGACAAUAAAUAAUUUAGACAUAAACGCGUUUGACAACAACAAUUUGGACACGAUUGAUUAAUGAAAAAAGGGGGUGUAAAUAAAUACAACGAGGGCUUAAGACAGGAUGUGAUAUGUUCUCAGGUCUCAUAUGCAUAAAACAGUUCCAUCACUUGUCUUUGUCAUUAACAUAAUUACAACGUGUCCUCAAACCUGUGGCUUGUAAACAGCAAAUUCCAAGUGCAAAGGUUGAUAUGAGCACAUGUUGUAGUCACAUCCGUCCCUUCCUGGUGUUGUGUUCAAUGACCUCAGGGCCUGUGAAGCCACAGCAGCGCACAGAUGGCCUGUGAGACCUUUAGGUGACCUUUUGACCCCACGCCUGAGAGAAAACUACUAACCGACAUCCUCCCCGUGCAGCGUGACGCCCAUUGUUUCCCUAACAGGAUCUGUACUUUCUUCUUCCACUCG
ensembl:lncRNA